AGUUUGAUCAUGGCUCAGAGUGAACGCUGGCGGCAGGCCUAAUACAUGCAAGUCGAACGGCAGCACAGCAGAGCUUGCUCUGUGGGUGGCGAGUGGCGGACGGGUGAGGAAUACGUGGGAAUCUGCCCAGUCGUGGGGAUAACGUAGGGAAACUUACGCUAAUACCGCAUGCGCCCUUCGGGGGAAAGCCGGGGACCUUCGGGCCUGGCGCGAUUGGAUGAGCCCACGUCGGAUUAGCUAGUUGGCGGGGUAAAGGCCCACCAAGGCGACGAUCCGUAGCUGGUCUGAGAGGAUGAUCAGCCACACUGGAACUGAGACACGGUCCAGACUCCUACGGGAGGCAGCAGUAGGGAAUAUUGGACAAUGGGCGCAAGCCUGAUCCAGCCAUGCCGCGUGAGUGAAGAAGGCCCUCGGGUUGUAAAGCUCUUUUGUCCGGAAAGAAAAGCGCCGGGUUAAUACCCUGGUGUCCUGACGGUACCGGAAGAAUAAGCACCGGCUAACUUCGUG
rnacentral:rRNA from 1 species